AUUGAACGCUGGCGGCAAGCCUAACACAUGCAAGUCGAGCGGGGUUUUCGGACCUAGCGGCGGACGGGUGAGUAAUGCGUAGGGAGCUACCCGAUAGAGGGGGAUACCAGUUGGAAACGACUGUUAAUACCGCAUAAUGUCUACGGACCAAAGUGUGGGACCUUCGGGCCACAUGCUAUCGGAUGCGCCUACGUGGGAUUAGCUAGUUGGUGAGGUAAUGGCUCACCAAGGCGACGAUCCCUAGCUGGUUUGAGAGGAUGAUCAGCCACACUGGAACUGAGACACGGUCCAGACUCCUACGGGAGGCAGCAGUGGGGAAUAUUGGACAAUGGGCGCAAGCCUGAUCCAGCCAUGCCGCGUGUGUGAAGAAGGCCUUCGGGUUGUAAAGCACUUUCAGUAGGGAGGAAGGGUUAAGUGUUAAUAGUACUUAACUUUGACGUUACCUACAGAAGAAGCACCGGCUAACUCUGUGCCAGCCGCCGCAGUAAUAC
rnacentral:rRNA from 1 species